rnacentral:rRNA from 1 species
UGAAACUGCUUAGAGGUUAAGCCCGAUGAACCUGAAUAUCCAUUAUGGAAAAUUCAACAUUAAUAUUAUAAUAUUUAUUUAUAAAUAUUAUAAAAAUAGUGUGCAAUUUUUCCAUAUAAGGACAUUGUAAUCUGUUAAUGUAAUAAAUAUUUAUCAUAAGAUUCAGUAUAUAAAAGUUUAUUCAAAUUAGUUAUUUUCCGAUUUCUAACAUAGAAUAAAUUUAAUUGAAUUUGAUAAAUCAUUGACAGAUUUAUUUAUAUAUAGUGCUUAAAUUCUUAAUUGAAUUUUACAAUAAUUUAUAAAUGUAUUUUCAUUUAUUUAUUUAUUGUAUGCACUUAUAUGAUUAACAAUGCUAUAGAUUCAGGAUACCUUCGGGACCCGUCUUGAAACACGGACCAAGGAGUCUAACAUAUGUGCAAGUCAUUGGGUAUUUUUAAUAAAACCCAAAGGCAUAAUUAACUUAACUGUUUUUUUAUAUGGGAUUAGUUUAUAUUUUAUUAUGAAAUAUUAAUUCAAUCCCGGGGCGUUCUAUAUAGUUAUGUAUAAUAAUAUUUAUAUUAUUUAUGCCUCUAACUAGAGCGUACCUUGAGCAUAUAUGCUGUGACCCGAAAGAUG